rnacentral:lncRNA from 1 species
GGGGGCGACAACGCUGGCACCUGGAGGGGCUUAGUGUCCGGUCCACUUAAGGAGAGCUUUUGUCCAAGCAGGGCCGACUGCAUUUACUAGACGCCCACUGCGUGCAGAGCGCUCCUAGAGGCUGGGGCGAGGAAGAACAGAGUCAUUCUCAUAGAAGGGCAUCAGAGGAAGAUAAAGAAGGAUCCUCAAUGUCAGACAUCUGAGCCUAAGCUAAGCCAUCAUAACCCCUGUGACCUGCACAUAUACAUGCCCCACUCCAACUAAUCAAUUGACCUUGUGACAUUCCUCCCCUGGACAAUGAGUCUCAUGAUCUCCCAACCCUGCACCUUGUGACCCCUCCCCUGCCCACAAGAGAUAACCACCUUUAAGUGUAAUUUUCCACUACCUACCCAAAUCCUAUAAAACUGCCCCACCCCUAUCUCCCUUUGCUGACUCUCUUUGUGGACUCAGC